AGCGAACGCUGGCGGCAGGCUUAACACAUGCAAGUCGAACGCCCGUAGCAAUACGGGAGUGGCAGACGGGUGAGUAACGCGUGGGAACAUGCCCUUUGGUUCGGAAUAACUCAGGGAAACUUGAGCUAAUACCGGAUAAGCCCGAGAGGGGAAAGAUUUAUCGCCGAAGGAUUGGCCCGCGUCCGAUUAGCUAGUUGGUGAGGUAAUGGCUCACCAAGGCGACGAUCGGUAGCUGGUCUGAGAGGAUGAUCAGCCACACUGGGACUGAGACACGGCCCAGACUCCUACGGGAGGCAGCAGUGGGGAAUAUUGGACAAUGGGGGCAACCCUGAUCCAGCCAUGCCGCGUGAGUGAUGAAGGCCCUAGGGUUGUAAAGCUCUUUCGGCGGGGACGAUAAUGACGGUACCCGCAGAAGAAGCCCCGGCUAACUUCGUGCCAGCCGCCGCGGUAAAAC
rnacentral:rRNA from 1 species